rnacentral:rRNA from 1 species
CCUACGGGUGGCAGCAGUAGGGAAUCUUCCACAAUGGGCGAAAGCCUGAUGGAGCGACGCCGCGUGGGUGAAGAAGGUCUUCGGAUCGUAAAACCCUGUUGUUAGAGAAGAAAGUGCGCGAUAGGAACUGUUCACGUUCCGACGGUAUCUAACCAGAAAGCCACGGCUAACUACGUGCCAGCAGCCGCGGUAAUACGUAGGUGGCAAGCGUUAUCCGGAUUGAUUGGGCGUAAAGGGAACGCAGGCGGGCUUGUAAGUCCGAGGUGAAAGCCUUGGGCUUAACCGCAGUAGUGCAUUGGAAACUGGGAGACUUGAGUACAGAAGAGGAGAGUGGAAUUCCAUGUGUAGCGGUGAAAUGCGUAGAUAUAUGGAAGAACACCAGUGGCGAAAGCGGCUUGCUGGUCUGUAACUGACGCUGAGGUUCGAAAGCGUGGGUAGCGAACAGGAUUAGAUACCCUUGUAGUC